GUACCAGUCAUUUAAGUUUUCACUUUCUUUUUAGCUGGUGUUUCCUUAUCAGAACCGAAGUUCAUACAUUUCUGUGCUCCUACUAAUGUGAAGAAACUAUUUAGCACAUGAUUGCUGUGCUUUCUUUUUUUGUUCGAUAUGAUUUCUGUUCCAUUUGAUCCCUUUAUUCUCAGGUGUAUAUGAUAUAUCGAGUAAAUAAACACGAGACUAUGGGAAGUCCUCUCAAUUUUCAAUAAAAAUGUAACCACGAUGCAAUACUGAUUGCAAAUUUCAUGAAACUGGCAGGUUUCAAGAUCUUGAUACUCUAAAUGGGUACAAAAUUAAGUCUCAUAGAUGAAUGCUAUAUCAUAAUAUGUUUUUUAGUCGGAGGCUUGGGAUUUAUAUAGAUCAAUUAUCAGAACAUUGGGAAAUAUAGUAUACUAGUAAACAUAAUUUUCACCAGAACCAUGAGCUUGUCUGCUCUGAAAGCACACAUUAGAUCAAUACUAACUAGUAUACUAAGCCAGGCCAAUUGUCAUAUCUGACCCUUCCCCUACACAUUCAUGGGCUCACCCCAAACCCUUGGGGUGAAAAA